CGUUUUUAGUUGUUGCAGUUAAAAGUUCGUAGUCGGAUUUUGGCUGAGAACGGUCGGUCCGCCGUUAGGUGUGCACUGACUGGUCUCAGCUUCCUGGUGAGGAGGUGUGCUUCAUCGCCACUUAGUCACCGUGGUUACUUUGAAAAAAUUAGAGUGUUCAAAGCGGGCUUACGCUUGAAUAUAUUAGCAUGGAAUAACACCAUAGGACUCCUGUCCUAUUUCGUUGGUCUCGGGACGGGAGUAAUGAUUAAGAGGAACAGUUGGGGGCAUUCGUAUUUCAUUGUCAGAGAUGAAAUUCUUGGAUUUAUGAAAGACGAACUUCUGCGAAAGCAUUUGCCAAGGAUGUUUUCAUUGAUCAAGAACGAAAGUUGGGGGCUCGAAGAUGAUUAGAUACCAUCCUAGUCUCAACCAUAAACGAUGCCGACUAGGGAUUGGCGGAUGUUAAUUGAUGACUUCGCCAGCACCUUAUGAGAAAUCAAAGUUUUUGGGUUCCGGGGGGAGUAUGGUCGCAAGGCUGAAACUUAAAGGAAUUGACGGAAGGGCACCACCAGGCGUGGAGCCUGCGGCUUAAUUUGACUCACACGGGGAAACUUACCAGGUCCAGACAUAGUAAGGAUUGACAGAUUGAGAGCUCUUUCUUGAUUCUAUGGGGGGGGGGGCAUGGCCGUUCUUAAUUGG
rnacentral:rRNA from 1 species